rnacentral:rRNA from 1 species
GACGAACGCUGGCGGCGUGCUUAACACAUGCAAGUCGAGCGAAGCCUUCGGGCUUAGCGGCGGACGGGUGAGUAACGCGUGGGAACGUGCCCUUUGGUACGGAAUAGCCCCGGGAAACUGGGAGUAAUACCGUAUGUGGUCGAGAGACGAAAGAUUUAUCGCAAAAGGAUCGGCCCGCGUUGGAUUAGGUAGUUGGUGGGGUAAUGGCCUACCAAGCCGACGAUCCAUAGCUGGUUUGAGAGGAUGAUCAGCCACACUGGGACUGAGACACGGCCCAGACUCCUACGGGAGGCAGCAGUGGGGAAUCUUAGACAAUGGGGGAGACCCUGAUCUAGCCAUGCCGCGUGAUCGAUGAAGGCCUUAGGGUUGUAAAGAUCUUUCAGUGGGGAAGAUAAUGACUGUACCCACAGAAGAAGCCCCGGCUAACUCCGUGCCAGCAGCCGCGGUAA